GUGUUGUCUUUCAGAUGGGAGCUGGCAAACCGACCUACCAGAGGAGUCCAGUACAGCCGGAGUCCCUUUCCCACCAAAAAGCCUCGCUGGCUACCAGUCUUCAGGGUGCCUCCCCUGUACUUCACACACCAGAGCAAGGCCAGGACAUGGGAGGCUGAGGCAGGAGGAUCACUGCAAGUUCAAAGCCUGAACGACAAAGAGAGACCCCAACUCGAAAAACCAAAACAAACAUACUUCACCCAUCUCUGGACAAAGGAAGCCCUUACACAGUCUGAAGAAUAAUCAAGACAACUGAGUAAAUACACA